rnacentral:tRNA from 1 species
AUUAAGAAGCUAUGAAUCAGCAUUAGCCUUUUAAGCUAAAGAAAGAGGGAUCUCCCCCCUCCUUAAUGAU